rnacentral:rRNA from 1 species
GAUGAACGCUGGCGGCGUGCCUAAUACAUGCAAGUCGAGCGAAUGGAUUAAGAGCUUGCUCUUAUGAAGUUAGCGGCGGACGGGUGAGUAACACGUGGGUAACCUGCCCAUAAGACUGGGAUAACUCCGGGAAACCGGGGCUAAUACCGGAUACCAUUUUGAACCGCAUGGUUCGAAAUUGAAAGGCGGCUUCGGCUGUCACUUAUGGAUGGACCCGCGUCGCAUUAGCUAGUUGGUGAGGUAACGGCUCACCAAGGCAACGAUGCGUAGCCGACCUGAGAGGGUGAUCGGCCACACUGGGACUGAGACACGGCCCAGACUCCUACGGGAGGCAGCAGUAGGGAAUCUUCCGCAAUGGACGAAAGUCUGACGGAGCAACGCCGCGUGAGUGAUGAAGGCUUUCGGGUCGUAAAACUCUGCUGUUAGGGAAGAACAAGUGCUAGUUGAAAAAGCUGGCACCUUGACGGUACCUAACCAGAAAGCCACGGCUAACUACGUGCCAGCCGCCGCAGUAA